UUUUGCUUUAAAGCAAAGAAAAAAAGGUUAAACAAAAAACCCACAAUUGAACUUUCAGGAAAGUGUGAAGACCCAAAACAGCUUUGUCUCCAAAGAAGAUAGCUCUCUGACUGCUAUGGAUAGUCUCCUACACUUCAUUUUUGUCAGAGCCAGAAUGAGAUGCAAGCAAUUGCAGAGGAAAGUUGUCUCUUGGGUAAACAGUAGACAUUUUAUAGCUUCUUAUGAAAAUCACUUUUCCUUUCUAUAUUGUGGUUAUGGGAAAUUAAAAGAAUGUAAUGCAUAAAAUAAAUGCAGACUUUAUUUAAAUAACAUUAAAACAUGAAGCAGAGAGAAACAGUAAGAAAUUAAAUAUUUAGGCUAUUAUCUCUUGGUUGUCUGACAAUACUUGCCUUUAUUUUAAUUCCCCAUGAUAUUUUCAGUAAUGGAGAGGAUAUUAAAAUCUAACUUUAAACUUCUGGAUUGUUCACAUUACAUUCAACAGUACUUCAUUAAGUUUCUGAUAAUAUGUAGUCUUCUAUGUGCAAGGAAAGAAAUAAAUAACUCAUUUAUUUGCUGAAUGAGCUUUAAGGUUUGCAAGUUGUUAGUGGUUUUUUUUGCCCACACAGGAUUCUAUACAUUUAUUAACAUCUUAAAUCUGGCAUAUAUAUAUAUAUUUUUUUUUUUCAGAUAGCUUCUACUGACAAACACAAAGCUUGUUUGUGUGCAAAUAUAAGGCAAAUAAAUGGUGCUAAAGUGUAUUAUGACUGUCAGAUAUAAUCAGGCAAAAUUCUGUGGUGCUUAAUUUUUUCAUUGAUUUUAUUGAUCAAUGCAUCGAACAGUGUUUAUUAUUCACAAGUUGUCUUUUAUUAGUAAAUCAAGGCCUCACAGCACAUUGUUAAAUAAAAUGGUUGACUAGUCUAUGUAACAGCUCACCAAGCUACUAUCUCUUCAACUCCUUAUAAUGUUGCGUCAUUAAAGGUCAAGGGGUCAUGCUAUUAAUCUCAUCGCUGUAGACCAUUAACAUGACUGAACUUUUCCACGAAGUACUUAUGUUUACAAUGCUAUAACCCUUUGACUGCUGCGGCAACCUUUAACCACACAAAUGUCACAAGCUAGAAUCAUCAGCAUGGUUCUUGCCAUGGCAAUCAAAGAGUUAAGGGCUGUGCAGUGAUUUGUUUUGUAUUUAUUAAUUUAUAUUUAUUUUGUUUCCAUUCAAGGAGGGGACUUGGGGUGGGGCAGUUUUUGUCUGCUGUAAGUGUCUUAACCUAGGGACGGGUUAAAUGGCUUUUUAUACUAUUGCAUCUUCUGUAUUUACCAUCAAUUCAUUGUGUUGUAAUUAAAAAAACUGUCAAUAAAUAAGAGAAAAGAAAAACA